rnacentral:tmRNA from 1 species
ACACUAGAUUUUUUAAAUGAGAAAUAUUAUAAUUUUUUUGUGUUUAACACUAUGGCAAUAAACGCAUAUUGUAAUAGGCUUUGCGGACCCGGGGGCGGUGCCCGGCGUCUCCACCAUUAUUUAAUUAUGGGGACGAAAUUAGUAUCGACGUGAGUAGUAAAGAAUUUGUUUUUGCUUGGGAAUGACAUCCUAAACUUUACGUUAAAAUGUCUUAAUAAAUGCUAAUGAUAAUUAUGCAUAUGCAUUAGCGUCAAAUGAUAAUUUUGAUGCUACUGCUGUAGCAGCUGCUGCUUAGUUUAAAGGCAAUUGUCUUAAAGCCUAGCAAAAGCUGAUGGGGUUUUGAGGGUUUCCUAGCAACAGAAAAUCCUCGUU